UACAGAGGUCCCAAGCGUUGUCCGGAAUCACUGGGCGUAAAGGGCGCGUAGGUGGCGUGAUAAGGGUGUGGUGAAAGCCCGGGGCUCAACCCCGGGUCUGCCAUGCCGACUGUCAGGCUGGAGUACUGUAGGGGCAGGCGGAAUUCCGGGUGUAGCGGUGGAAUGCGUAGAGAUCCGGAGGAAGACCGGUGGCGAAGGCGGCCUGCUGGGCAGUUACUGACGCUGAGGUGCGAAAGCGUGGGGAGCAAACAGG
rnacentral:rRNA from 1 species